GACAGAGUGAGACUCCGUCUCAAAAAAAAAAAAAAAAAAAAAAAAAAAAAUGAAUUAGGUUUUGUGAAACUUAAAUUUGAAGCACAUGUUAGAUAACCAAGUAGAAAUGUCAAGUGUGUAGGAGAAUAUAGAAAUACUGAAGUAACUAGCAUCUAGAUGGCAUUUGAAGCUACAGGAUUAUAUUACCUGUGACAGGAAGUAUGUGAUUUAUUAAUUUAGUGCAAGUGUAGGCUAGCUGGCUCAUUUUGAAUUAAGAUGAGAGGAAAUAGCUUUACUUUGUGGAACCAAUGGAGAGAAACGUGUAUCAGCUCUAUGAGCAUGACUACUGGGCAUCAGCCAUGUUGAGUGCUGGACUUCAGAAAAUGAAGAUCGGGACAGCAGAGGACCAAGAAGCCAGUGAUGUUCACUAAGCAGGCACCAGCCUUCCCUCCAUUUCAAUGUUUGGAUGUUGUAGUUACAUAAAUUUCUGGCCAUAUUGACUCAACCACAGAAUUCUGAAAAGGAUGCCGAUGAAUAGAGUUUUGAAUUGGAUUGGGAAUCCAAAUCAAAAAUACAAGAAAUCCGCUUGUGAAUUGAAUUUACCUGACAGUGUCAACACUAAGUUGUCUGCUAGGAAAGAGUUUGGAACUCAUAUUCAGUUUGUAGAAAUAAAUACAAUCAUAGCUUGUGCCUAUCCAAAACUUUAAUGUUGCAAUGGUAUGCCUGUUAUGCAGCGAGGGAGGAUACAGAGUUAGAGACGAGAUGCAUAGUACACAGCCCCAUGCCACUGGGUUCACUUCAUCAUUAGAUUUUGUUGGAGAAAGAGACUGAGAUGCUGGUGAAACAGGGAGGAGGGGAGCCAGGAGAGCACAGGAUGAGAGAAGCCCAUCAAAGAAAGUGUUUCAGCUGAGAGAUGCUGCUGAAGAGGCAGACAAGAUGCAGGCAGAGCGAUGGAGAUCAGCGAGGGCCCAGGGAGGCGCAGGGACUGGAGCUGAGGGCACAGACACCCUUAGGAUAGGUUGAAAAGCAAAGGACAAGUCAAGAGACACAAAAUAAUCAGCAACAAUAUUCUUAACGCUUGAGGGGAUCACCAUCUGGGUAGUGAGGCAGGAUGAGCUACAUCAUAAUGACAUAAAUCAUAAAACUGACAUGAUGACUACCAAGGCCACCUGUUGACACAGAAGACCCAAAGGGAAAGCGAACUGGGACAGCCAGAAAGGGCUUCAAAAGAUGCUGUGUUCAUAUUUCGAAGAAACUAGGAAUAAGAUGAAUGGUGAGAGGAAGAAAGGGUGUUCCAGCCAAGAGAUUGGACCAACGUGGGCAGGCGGGAGAAAUCAAUACAAUUGAAGAGGCGAAAAUCAAAGGAACAAAGAGAUUUCUGGAGGCUGGCUUGGUAGGGUUGUAGGAUGAGGCUGUUGAUGUAAAAAAGAAAAACAAAACAAAAACAGAAACUAGAGGAAGUCAUUCUACAAAGCAGAACAAAUCCAAGUAUUUCCUGACACAAAAUUACCAUGGGGGGAGGGGGAGGGAAGUAGCCAUCUAGCAAAAUACAUUACACCCACUUUCUUUUAGCUUCAGGCACAGCCACCAGUACUUAUUUUCAGCCCCUUUUUAUAAAAAUUUAAAACCCCAUGUAAUUAUAUUCAUUCAUUUUAAACAUAACUCCUCAAAAUCUAGCUUUGUAAUUAAAAAAAAAUUUGACAUGGGGUUUGGAAUCGUGGUUAUAGAUGAGUUUGGUGACAAGUCAAACAUUUUGGAAAUGAGUUUCCACACAUCUGCUCAAGAACCUGUUGUUGCCCUUUGAGCAGAAUAU